AUGAACGCUGGCGGCGUGCCUCAUACAUGCCAGUCGAGCGCACGGACGAGAAGCUUGCUUCUCUGAUGUUAGCGGCGGACGGGUGAGUAACACGUGGAUAACCUACCUAUAAGACUGGGAUAACUUCGGGAAACCGGAGCUAAUACCGGAUAAUAUUUUGAACCGCAUGGUUCAAAAGUGAAAGACGGUCUUGCUGUCACUUAUAGAUGGAUCCGCGCUGCAUUAGCUAGUUGGUAAGGUAACGGCUUACCAAGGCAACGAUGCAUAGCCGACCUGAGAGGGUGAUCGGCCACACUGGAACUGAGACACGGUCCAGACUCCUACGGGAGGCAGCAGUAGGGAAUCUUCCGCAAUGGGCGAAAGCCUGACGGAGCAACGCCGCGUGAGUGAUGAAGGUCUUCGGAUCGUAAAACUCUGUUAUUAGGGAAGAACAUAUGUGUAAGUAACUGUGCACAUCUUGACGGUACCUAAUCAGAAAGCCACGGCUAACUACGUG
rnacentral:rRNA from 1 species